GGUGGCGGCGGCUCGGCAGGGAGCGUGCGAGCACGGGUCGCAAAGGAGAUCAAGGAGAGGGAGAGGAGGAGCUGGGGCAGCUGCAAUCCAAACCAUCUCACCGAUUGGGAGAGGUGCAGCAGAACGUGAAAAGACAAAAAUGCCCUUGACAGGGCAUGAAAUUACAGGCGGUGGCAGGAAAUCUUUACGCUGGAGAGGGACUAUUCAUUGCAAUAGUAACCGGUUUUGAUCCGACCGCUGUGAUCUACCAGGAGCGAGAUCGGACGGACAUAAUCGCGUCAAAGAAAUGAUCCGAAGGCCGAGAGUCGCUAAACCCUGAGAGAGCUCGGGGCCCGCCUUGGUUCUUAUUUCUGGAUAUUUUUUGAUAAAUGAUUGCAUCUCAUUUGUCCUCUACACACGUAGGGCUAGACAGAUGACAUCUCAUUUGUCCUCUACACUUGCAUGAUUGCAUUGUUGCACAUUUGCAUAUUUUGUCAUAAGCUUGACCCACCUAUCGAUGUGCGUACGUACGUACUUUGAGCUCGUCCAGUGGCGGAGCUAGAUGCAGAUUACGCCUAGGGCUGUGCUAUAUUGAAUAAUAAACUUUUAUGAUUUUUUAUGCUUUGCAUGAAAAAAUUAUAAAGGAAAUUGUUUCUAGGCUGGGGCUAUAGCCCUAACUGCCCCAGGCCUGUCUCCGCCACUGAGCUCGUCAACCUCCCAGCAGCAGCUCGUCGCCCACCGUUGGGUUGUCCCUGUCUGAGAUGGACAGGCUUGUUGCCGCAUGUCUACUUGCACGUAGUCCGGUCAAAAACUAAUCUUGGUAGUGUCAGUUGCUUCCACGCAGGCGCAGCGGCUAGCUACGCACAUGCAUGACGCAUACAAAUGCACAUCAUGAACACAUAUAUAUAGUUCUUCGCAAACGGCAUCUCUAAGGCCGUGCCCCAAAUUGGACCUAUUAUUUGACGCGUCUGUAGACACGAAUAAGAAAGCCGGAGAUCCAGCUGUAUGCUCGAAAUGUUGGUGCACAUUUUAAACUUAAAUCCAACAAACCGGGUGAAUUUGAUGCAAACACAACCAUUUUCAUGCAAACCAACCAGGCCUAAUUCAUGCCAAGUUCGACAUACUGCAAUUAAAUUGGACAAGUUCAAUUAAAAUUGAAAUAAACCUAGAGAAAAACUAUGCGAGAUAUUGGACCGUAACAUCGUACACAACCUCCCGGGGACCUUAUUAACACCUAACCAUGUAGCAUGCCAAAAAAGUUCAGGACAUUUACGCGUUGAUCUCCAAUUAUUCCAAGGGUCACUACAUUCCAGAUAUAAUACGCCAGCAAGAACUACCGAGGCAACUUCAUGACGAUUGGCGAGGAGCCCCAUGUAGAAGAAUAUUAAGGUAGAGCCUACACGGGUNNNNNNNNNNNNNNNNNNNNNNNNNNNNNNNNNNNNNNNNNNNNNNNNNNNNNNNNNNNNNNNNNNNNNNNNNNNNNNNNNNNNNNNNNNNNNNNNNNNNNNNNNNNNNNNNNNNNNNNNNNNNNNNNNNNNNNNNNNNNNNNNNNNNNNNNNNNNNNNNNNNNNNNNNNNNNNNNNNNNNNNNNNNNNNNNNNNNNNNNNNNNNNNNNNNNCUCCACACGACCCUAGUAACACAAUGCAGAUUUCAUGUGGUACCUACCCACACUACAUUAGAACAUCUCGAAUUACCAAAGCACAGCGGAAAAUUACUCUAUAAUUCUAAGGAAGUUUUUUUUGCGUAUUUAUGAGUCAGGGGCGCACACUAGCCCUAAGGCGAUUGGGUAGCGUAUGUGGGUAAUGUCGGCCUCCUAGCUUCGUCUUUUGGCGCACACCCUCUUUUGAUUGAAAAACAAUUUCUGAUUUGUUUGAGAUGUUUUUUUUACUUUUGGAAACUAUCUAUUUUUCCUAAACCAAAGACAAGAAAACAUCAACCAGCUCUCUAGCGCAUUGUUUGUAUGUUAUUCCAAUUUUAUAAAAAAAUGUAUAUUCAAUAAAUUUAUGUCAUGACAGCUUAAAGACUUACAGGUAUUUUGGGACGUAUUUCAGUUUGCUAGUCUGUUUAAAGAAAAUAGGCUAUCAGAUUUUUUAAAGAUCAAAAUUGUAUUAUUGAAAAAAUGUGUUCGCCAUUUUUUAAACAUGCAUGAAUAUUAAAUAUGUUUGUGAAUUCCAAAAAAUCCAUAAAUUUUAAAUAUUCACGAGAACUUUAAGAAUGUCCCAUGGUUUUAAGUAUUCACAAACUUCUAAAAAAAUCAUAGGUUUUAAAAUAAUCAUCAUUUCUAAAAAAUUGCAGAUAGUAAAAAAUAUUCAUGUUUUAGAAAUUAAAAAAUGAAAAGGAAAGCUAAAAACUAAAAUAAAUGAAAAAGUAAAUAGAAAUUAAGGGACAAUUUAUAAAAUGAAUAAAAUGAAAUGAUAAAAUAAAACUAUAAAAAAUAAAAAAGUCGGAACAAAAUGGUGAAACCGGUAGAGACGAUUGUUCGUGGCCUUGAGUUACCCGAGUCGGGUCGGCCCAUGUGCGCUUGCUCAGGCGCGUCAUAGCGUCAACCCUUUGCUACAGGUGACCAAUAGGGAAACUCCGAUCCUCUCUCCCAUAGCCCUAUUCUCCGCAGCCGGCGCAGGAUACCUACCUCUUCUCCUCCUUGUCCCUCCAGCAAUAGCGGCCACCGCCGCCGCCGUCGUAUCCUCUCUCCCCGGCCAGAUCCAGCCGCCACCUCCUCUCCCCACCCUCGCCCCACCAGCGCAUUGGAUUCCAGGCUCAACACCAAUGGGCUCUCCAGCGCAUUGUUUAUAUGUUAUUCCAAAAAAAUAAGACAAUGUAUAUCCAAUAAAGUUAUGUCAUGACAACUUAAAAAUUUAUAGAUGUGUUUUAGGACGUAUUUCGGUUUGCUAGUCUGGUUAAAGAAAAUAGGCUAUCUGAUUUUUGAAAGAUCUAAACUGUAUUAUUGAAAAAAAAGUUCACCAGUUUUUUAAACAUUCAUGAAUGUUGAAUAUGUUGUCUAAUUCCAAAUAGUACAUAAAUUUUAAAUAUUAUGAGAACUUUCAACAAUUGUUCGUGUUUUUAAGUAUUCACUAACUCCUAAACUUGUUUUAUAGAAAUUAAAAAAAGGAAAAAGGAAAGAAAAAAUAGAAAUAAAACGAAAAACGUAAAAAUAAAUUAAGGAAUAAUUUAUAAAAUGAGAGAAAAAGAAAUGACAAAGUAAAACUAUAAAAAAUAAAAGAAGACAGAAAAAAAUGGUGAAAACUGGUAGAGAAGACCCGAAGACGAUGAGAGAAUGCAAACAAAACCGCUCGUGGGCUUGAGCUACCCAAGUCGGGCCGGCCCAUGUGCCCGCACUCAGGCGCGUCGUAGCGUCAACCCUUUGCUACAGGCGACCAAUAGGGAAACUCCGCUCCUCUCUCCCAUAGCCCUAUUCUCCGCAGCCGGCGCAGGAUACCUACCUCUCCUCCUCCCCGUCACUCCAGCAACGGCGGCCGCCGCCGCCGCCACCACCACCACCACCGUAUCCUCCCUCCCCGUCCAGAUCCAGCCGCCACCUCCCCUCCCCACCUCGCCCCGUCACCCGCACGGGAUCCAGGCCCAAACCCCUCGCCCCUCCUCUCCUCUCCCCAUUCGAAUCCGGAUCUAGACUCACACUCCACCUCCGCCGGAGCGCGCUCGCGGCGACGGACACCGGCGAUGGAGGAGUAUCUAGCUGCCUACACGGUAAUGCCUCCCAAAACCCACCAUACAUGUUCCGCCGCGCAGGGUUUAUGCCUGACAAAUUUCUUCGUUUCAGGCGAAAGAAGAUCCCGUAACUCCGGCGCAGCCGACUGUUCAGACGGCCAGUGCGCUGCCGGCCCGGGCAGCAGGCGGUCACGCGCAGCAGGCGCCAGCAGCUGCUGCUGCUCCUCCGACCAGUUCCAGAGUGGUAAGAUUACUGGAAAGAAGCCUUUGUUGAGGAGAGACUUGGCAUUAUGUGUGUGUGGUGUGUAGAUCCUGAGUGAAAACCGCACUCUUUGGAACUGCUGCAGGUUGCGAAAUCGACCAACAACAGUUCGGCGAAAACCCCCGGGAGCUCCGCGAACAAGAGAGUGAUAUACAUUGUGGCUGGGGAUGAUGGCUCCCAUGUGCCGAUCCUGCGCAAAGUGCAGGUGUAUGGAGAAGAGGUACCUGAGCACAUCACAGUUUUUGUCCCUUCAUCUGUGCAUCUAUCAGUAGAUAACAUUUAAGAAAACAAGCAGACACAUUGGAUUACUGUGUCUCACACAUAUCUGUUAUUGUCACAGGCUAGUAAGGGAUAUGAGAAGACGCCAGCACCUGCGUGCAACGUCGUUAAGGUACUUGGAGUCACUACUUCACCUUCCCUUAGAAAUUACUUAAUGUCUGGUGUUAACUUGGAAUGAAAUGACAGCAAGCUCGUCUGGAUGCUGGCAAACAACCGGUGAGACGACCAAGGAUACAACUGCUCAGCCACAACCGUGAGGUAUGGAAGCCAAACAAAAUAUAGCAAGUACUGGUAUUUUGGACAUUUCAAUAUACUCAGGGGAUAAUAUAAACUAUGUGCUUGCCUGCAGGAACGAUCAGCAGAGCUCAUGGAUGACGAUGAAGAAGCGGCAAUCGCAUUGUCUGUUAAACUGGAGAGAAACGCCAGCUAUGUGGACCGUUCGCUGCAGCUGGUGACUGCUGAAGAACAUGAUGUUAUGGAAAUCGAUGACAUAUCUAGCGACGAUACAGGCAGUCAAAGUGAUUCAGACAGCAGCUCUGGUAGUGAGUCAGAAAAGGAGGAAGGGAGGUUCUUCUAUCCUGCCCCUGAGGCACUGGGCACUGUUAAAGCACCGCAAGUUGGAAUGAAAUUCCCAACCCUCGAAGAUGCACAUGAGUACUACAACACAUAUGCUCUCCAGACUGGUUUCGUGGUGGUCAGGGGAAGAAACUACAAGAGACAGAGGUUUCAGCUGGACUGCAACAGGAAUCGCAAGGUAAAGCUAGUCGAGGACCUGAACCUGAAGAGGAAGAGGAAGAAGAAUGUCAUAGAGAAGACAAAUUGCCAGGCAAAGAUCAUCGUGAAGCUUAUCAAGGGAGAGUGGGUGAUCGCAGCAGUUCAGAAUGAACAUAACCAUCCGUUAUCUCCAAGCCGUUCGUUCACAAGAUUCUUAACGAGCCAAAAACACAUGUCACCUGAAGAGAGGUCAUUUUCAAGAGUUCUUCAGCAGAGCAGGGUGCCUCCCGGAGAAAUUCUCAAGAUUUUGAGAAGGAUGAGUGGCUUUUUUCGGGAAUUGCCAUCAAAGGAAAAACAAGCACUGAUCUUGCAGUCUGCUGAACAAUGGAGGAAAGCAAACUUAGAUGUUGAGAAAACACUGAACCACUUCGAGCAACUGCAGCUCCAGGACCCAUGUUUUUUCUACACCGUGCAAAAGGAUGAAGAUGGCACGCUUAGGAGCAUUUUCUGGACUGAUGCAAGGUCAAGGAUGGAUUAUGAAAUCUUUGGUGAUUUCGUAUCGUUUGACACCACCUUCAGCACAAAUAGACACAACAUGCCUUUCGUUCCUAUCACUGGGAUGAAUAGCCGUGGGAGAACAAUCGUGUUAGGGUGUGCCUUGCUGCAAGAUCGAAAAGCUGAAACCUACAAAUGGAUGCUCGAAACGUUUCUGCAGGAGAUGGGAGGAGGUCAAAUACCAAGAUCAGUCAUAACAAGCCAGGACGAAGCCAUGGCGAAGGCAAUAGCCGAGGUCAUGCCACAAGCAAGGCACAGGUUCUGCAGAUGGAACGGGAAAGCCCAGGAAAAGAUGGCGGCCUUUGUGGCAGCAAGAGGCAACAUGAAAGCAGAGCUGGACAUCUUAGUUGACAGUUCACUGACAGAGACGGAGUUCGAACAAGGAUGGAGUGCACUCAUUCAGAGACAUGAUGCAAGUGAAAACGAGUACCUACAGUUGCUGUGGGAGAUGAGGAAGACCUGGGCUCCUGUUUAUUUCAUGCAGGAUUUCUUCCCUUUUGUCGUUUCAGCCAGAGGCAGCCAGGGGGCAUUCUCACUGUUCAAAGAGAAUGUGCUUCCCAAGGACAAGAUAGAGAAUCUGAUUGAAAAGUACGAGGAGAUGCAGGAUAAGAUCAAGAAAACGGACGAGGAAGAUGUACUGGAAGCGGCGACCGAGCCUUCAUGCUUCUCACUGCAGCCAAUAGAAAGGCACGCAUCACGUGUCUACACAAGGCAGAUCUUCCUGAAAGUCCAGAAGGAGCUCCUCCACUCCACAGCAUUCAAAGUGCAGGAGAUAGAAAGAGGCACCCUGUACAGGCUGGACAAGGCCUACAGCUACGAGAACCCGGAGUACGACCGGGACUCCUUCGAGGUGUCAAUCGAGCCCGGCCUCACCGACACGUACACGUGCCAGUGUGCCAAGUUCGCCAGGGACGGGAUCCUCUGCUGCCACGUGUUCAGGCUCUUCACGCAGUUUGGCAUCGACGAGAUACCGGAGAAAUACAUCGUGGCCCGGUGGACCGACGGUUUCAGGGAGGAGCAGCUGGAGCGGCGUGAGGAGGGGCGGUUGGUGGUGGCGGCACAACGCGAGGAGGAUGCGGCGAGGUACGCGGCACUGAUGAGCAAGGCGGCUGGGAUCGGGAGGGAGAUCUGCGGCGACGGCGCCAAGUGCGACGCGUUCAUGCUGGAGCUGGACAGGAUCCGGGAGAAAAUGGCGACGAUGGCGAUGGCGAAUGAUCACGUUUAGACGGUAAGUGCUGAGCUUGGGCUACAGUGGACAUGUUCAGCAGCAGAAGUCUCUAGGUACUCGGGUUGGGGAGUUGAUCUUGCUCGUGUGCACAAUGUAGAGUAGCUGGUAAGGCUUGUUUUUCCUGUGUAACUUGAGAGACGAGUGCUAUGUAGUCUAUUGUUGCAUUCAUGAUUCAUGCAUUGUUAACUGUCAAGGAUUUGCCGUCGUGAUUCUGCUAUGUUAGUAGUACCUGCAUGCAGUUCAUGAGAUGUACUCUGGUUGUGCUAAAAUGUAUCCAUGCAUUAACUUGUUACAGAUUCGCCGUCGUGAUUCUGUUUAUGUUAGUACCUGCAUGCAGUUCAUGUGGUGUAUUCCUGUUGUGCUAAAUAUGCUGCCUGAAACUGUUGGGUAAAACCAAGUGCAUCUUAUUUUACCUGCUGUGUGUUUGAACUGCACUCUGAUGUUGACGGGCAG
rnacentral:lncRNA from 1 species